rnacentral:misc_RNA from 1 species
GCUUCAGAUGUGUAUAAGAGACAGGUGAAUCAUCGAAUCUUUGAACGCACAUUGCGCCCUCUGGUAUUCCGGAGGGCAUGCCUGUUCGAGCGUCAUAAUGACCAAAUCACCCUUGGGUGGACUUGGAGCUGGCCGUCUGGCCUCUCUCAAAAUCAGUGGCGGUGCUAGUAAGCUCUACGCGUAGUAAUUUUUUCUCGCUACAGGGUCUUAUUAGUGCUUGCCAGCAACCCCAACUUUCUAAGGUUGACCUCGGAUCAGGUAGGGAUACCCGCUGAACUUAAGCAUAUCAAUAAGCGGAGG